CGGAUGUGCCCAGAUGGGAUUAGCUAGUAGGUGGGGUAAUGGCUCACCUAGGCGACGAUCCCUAGCUGGUCUGAGAGGAUGACCAGCCACACUGGAACUGAGACACGGUCCAGACUCCUACGGGAGGCAGCAGUGGGGAAUAUUGCACAAUGGGCGCAAGCCUGAUGCAGCCAUGCCGCGUGUGUGAAGAAGGCCUUCGGGUUGUAAAGCACUUUCAGCGAGGAGGAAGGCAUAAAGGUUAAUAACCUUUGUGAUUGACGUUACUCGCAGAAGAAGA
rnacentral:rRNA from 1 species